GACGAACGCUGGCGGCGUGCUCAACACAUGCAAGUCGAACGAAGAGCGAUGGAAGCUUGCUUCUAUCAAUCUUAGUGGCGAACGGGUGAGUAACGCGUAAUCAACCUGCCCUUCAGAGGGGGACAACAGUUGGAAACGACUGCUAAUACCGCAUACGAUCUAAUCUCGGCAUCGAGGAUAGAUGAAAGGUGGCCUCUACAUGUAAGCUAUCACUGAAGGAGGGGAUUGCGUCUGAUUAGCUAGUUGGAGGGGUAACGGCCCACCAAGGCGAUGAUCAGUAGCCGGUCUGAGAGGAUGAACGGCCACAUUGGGACUGAGACACGGCCCAGACUCCUACGGGAGGCAGCAGUGGGGAAUCUUCCGCAAUGGACGAAAGUCUGACGGAGCAACGCCGCGUGAGUGAUGACGGCCUUCGGGUUGUAAAGCUCUGUUAAUCGGGACGAAAGGCCUUCUUGCGAAUAGUGAGAAGGAUUGACGGUACCGGAAGAGAAAGCCACGGCUAACUACGUG
rnacentral:rRNA from 1 species